UCUGAGAAACUUGAUUCCUAAGCUCAAUUAGAUUCAUAAAACAUUCACAGACAUACACAGCACAAAAGAAACACAAGCUUUCCCAAGCAGCAUCAAGCAUUUAACCCCAAGGAAUAAUUUUCUACCUGAUGUAAGGCACAGUGCUCUACUUGGGAGAGGGACGUUCAGUGCUUCACCCCUGUAGUUUUGACUAGAAGAACUUUUCUAGAGCACCCAAGAAAUUCUUUAGGCAAGGAAAGGCCUGUAAAGACAGCGAGGAGCUGAUACACCACAGCUCUUAAAGAGGUGAGAAUGGAAAUCUUGAAAAUUUUCAGUAGCUUCACAGAGAAAAAGAAAACUGAAGGUCUUUUUACAUUAAUGAAAACCUGUAAGUUCAGAACAGAUAAUUAGCUCUGACAAGAGCCUGUCAAAGUAAUGGAUGAUCCUACUAAAACUUCCUCCAGUCCCACAGCCUGAAUCAGACCAAUGAGCCUUGGUAAUGACUUCAGAAAUAAAUGAAAAACCCAUCAUAUAGACAGAAAUCUUCUGACCUUCUCUGAAACAUGGCUCCCCAUGCAGUCAAUGGGUUUAUCACAUUAUCAGUCACUUUGUAUCAUUUGAUGGACUUCAAACUCCAGAUACAUAAAAAAGAAUAACCUCUGAGGAUGGGAAUGGUUUUUGCCAAUGCCAACAAUUUAGCUAAAUUCAAGACUUAAACUAUAAUAGCUAUUGUAAUAAUAAUACUAAUAUAUCAUGCCUGAGUUUUUAGUAGUCUUUUCUGGCUUUAAACUUUCAGCAAGGAUAAAAUUGUGGAAAACUUCAGACUAAGAAAAAGCAAAUCUCACUUGACUCAAGUCAAGACCAUCUACCAUAAAAAGUAUGUUUUAGAAAAAAAUACCAGGAAAUUAGAAGUCUGAACUGAACUUAUGUUGUAAAAACUUUACUUUCACAGGGAGUCUGCUUUUCUGAUUUGAUUAUGAGCAUUGUAGAAAGCAUGCAGAAGGCAUCAGCUUUGCUCCCUUUUUCAUUUCUCCCAGAAGCUUAUCCGAUUUUGUGUAAAGGCUGGAAAGGGAGCAAUAUAAGACAUUCAAAAGCAUAAAUAGAAUUUAAAUUAUAAUGUCCAAAGUUGUUUUCUAUUUUGAAAUAGAACUAAGUUACAGCUAUAAUGGAAAUAUCUUUAAAAACUGAGCAUUCAAGAUUUUGCAGUGUAUCAGCUUUAACUAAAAUCUGCACAGAUCAAGCUUCUGAUAAUUUCUUCCACCUCCAUAAACCAAAUUAGUUGUGUCCCAGUGUAGAGCAAGCAUUUGAAAUUAAGCUUAACUCUGUUUCCCAGUUUCUCUGUUCUUUCUGAGGCUCAACAAGAAGCAACAGAGGAGAUGACAUCUCAUAAUCUGAAAAACCACAGGAACUUUCCUUAGCAUUAUUGAUUUAGCAUUGCAUUUACAAAUUAGUGCUCCUGCUCCCUGGCAAUACAUCCCCACCUAAUUCAAUUCUGUUCAUCAAGCAUGUUAGAUAUCAAACAAGUAAUGUACAAAAGCAGACCUUUUUUCGGGUUAGAAACUACUUCAACAGCAGCCAGCAAACUAAAAAUAAAACAAAAAUGAAAAUUUAGGAGUCUUUCCUUCCCAAAGCAGGAGAUUCCAAGUGCUUCACACAAAUGUCAGAACUUAGAAUAUUCAGAUGUACUAGUGAAAAAGUAUGAAAUUCUGUCUGCUUUUACCUAGUCCUUUAAAACAGGAGGGAAAAUUACCUCUCCAGUUAUCCUCUGUUAGUGCCUGUUCUUCCAAAAUGACUUUUUUGUUUUAUAAAACUUCCUUUUCCCUUUACCCUUCCUCUUCCCCUUUUCCUUGCCUUUUCCCUUCUUUUCAUAAUGCAGAAGUUCUGUGAGAAGUGUUCCUAAUGCAAACCAGCCACAAGAAGAAUGCCUGCAAGCAUCAUAGUGCCUUGCUGCAGUGUGCCAACAGAGAGGAGGUUUUUUCUAGCUUCCACAGGAGACGUGGAAUAAAAUGAAAUUUCCCAUUUGGUGAGGGACUCCAUGGAGUCCUAAUGAUUCUUUCUGCUAUGAGAAGGAUUUUUCCCCUGCAGCCUGAUAUGCAGUACAGUUGCUGAGAAGAAGAGGUAAGGGCUGAAGUAAAAAAUAGCAUGAACAUACAUGAAAAGGAACUCUAUACCUGAUGUUUAAAAAGAUCAUUAAGUGAUCGGGCUUUUACUGUCUCUAAACUCAGGAAAUAUAUAUCUUUUAAGACCUAAAAAGGUGUUACUGUAAUUAGAACAAUAUAACCUCAUAAACUACACUGGCAUAUAACCACAUUAUUCUUCAUUUGUCUAAUCUGACAUUAAGCUACUGUUUUGCUAUAUUUUGUUAGAAAAGCUGUGUUCUUGUCUGUGAAUAAAAUGAGCAGAGGUAAAGCAGAAACGCAACCAAUAUUCAGUACUAAUACACUGAAGCAAAAGGGAAAAUUUGAAAGCCCUAUUAAACACAAAGGAAAUGAUCAAAAAUGUCCAUUCAUCACUGAUGUAUGUGAAACUGAUUAAUAGCUGAUGCCACUGCUCUUGAAUCUCUCAGAUCAGAUAAGAAAUGGUCUUAGAACACGAUUGACAAACUCACAGCAGCAAUCUUUUCACAAACUGAAUAUGCAAUAGACAGUUCAAGUGCUAAGAAGCUCUAAACAACCAAACUGUUGUUUCAAAAAUAAACCUUUAAGAACUUCAUUAAUUUAAAUUUUAUAACUCUAGUAGAUGUUGCAUUUCCACAGAUUAUCUCAUCACUAAGAUAUUAGCAUCAUUAAAGUGUUAUUAAAACCAAUUUUUUAAAAAAUUUGAAAACCACUGUAGUUUCCAAAACCAGUGUGAUUUCCAAAACUGAAGCAGAUCUCUGCUAUACAUAUAAUUUUCUUGCAACUUUGUGGCACUACAGGGAUCACAGUGGUGGCCUUGAAACUAAACUUGUUCUCUACUUUUCAGUGUUUAUUUUGUGGCUGCUCAUUCUGCCUGAACAGAAGCAUCCUGAUAUUUUGAUACUUUUUUAAGAAUCUUCAGAUUUUGACAAGGACGUCAGGGAAGAACUAGCGUAUUCUAGAUUUUAUUGAAAUCAAUCCAGAUUUUCACAAUCAUCAAGACCAUCAUUGAAAGUCCUUGUUUAGCAUGAUUAGAUAGAAAUGCUUCUAAAAUUACUCUUUGCUCAAUAAAAACUGGGCAUAUUUUUGAGAACUUACUUCUGUUGGCAUGUAACUGAUUUUCCAGAAGAGAUGCAGACAGGUUAACUUCAUGUUUAGCAACUAUCAUCUGACUGUUUUGUAAUUAUGGACUAUGGAAAAUACAGUAAAAAGGAAAAAAAACCAUGUAUUCAAUAUUGUACUAAUAUUAAUAAUGUGUUCUUGGUGACAUUUUUGUUCAUUACAUUACAUUAGCAAUAAAACCAUAUGAUCUAUUAUUAGAACCUAUAUGUCUGACACGAUGGGCACAGGUUGCCUCCUGUUAAUUGCACUACCUCCAAGAAAGCAUCUCUGGAAGUUAAUGCAGUUCGUAACCUGACCUGUGACAUGUAUGCAUAUGCAACCCGCUAUUUCCAUGUACUAUGACUAGCAGCUGGUACACUGCGGAUAACAGGUCACAGCAAACUCUAAUAAAUAAUUCUCUAAAAGAAGUACUAGAAAUCUGGAGAGCUUUUGUGCCCUGAAGAUCAAUGAUCCAAGUUCAAAUGAUAUCGAUGAGGGCAUUAUAGUGGAGAAAAUGGACAAGAUGAUUACACAACUGAUGAAUGACUGGCAAACAAAUUCAUAAAAGACAAAACCAUUGUUGAAGGAACAAGCUUUAGCAAAUAGUUUCCUUAAUUUCGAUAGGUUUGAAACUUGUUAACCUCUACUGUUUUAGUUUGACAUAUAUUUGUAUUCCUUCUUGUCCUGGUUUGAGCCAGGAUUAAGCCAAUUUUUCUUUUCACUGAUUUUUUUUUCCUUCAGUAAGCUUUCUUUUAACUAGCAACUGUGUGUUCUGCUAGGCUGAUAAGACAGUGGAAUGUUUUUCUAACUACUGAGGUUUCAAGGUUACACCUUCACUCCGCCGGCUCAGACACUAUGGGGAGAUCUCUGACCCCCCCGUGGGAGGCUGAGUUAGACAGACAGCAAAAUUGGCCAAAGAUAUUCCAUUCCAUAUAUCUACGUAAGCUCAGAGGAAGGACAGAGAUCUUAGAAGACAGCUUCCUCCCUCUUCUCGCCCUCUCUUCAGUCCAUGGCCGGCGUCCGGGGAGGACUCUGCUCAUCCAUCACCGCCGACCCUUAGGCUCGAGCUCUCCUGGCCCUCAUAACUCUCCGCUUUCUCCAGCAGCGGCUCCGGGAUUUCUCGGGACUCUUGCCAGUUCAGGGGAGUGCUGUGGGAGUUGCUGGGGGUGGGGGGAGGCGAGAGGCUUUUGCCCAUAUCUGAAUAUAUAUCUGUAUAUAAUUGUAUAUAUUUUCUUGUGUGAUUCAUUAGUGUUUUAAUUAAAGCUGUGUAGUUUAGUUUUCAA